UACGGGGGGGGCAAGCGUUGUUCGGAAUUACUGGGCGUAAAGGGCGCGUAGGCGGUUUGCUAAGUUGGACGUGAAAACUCUGGGCUUAACCCAGAGCCUGCAUCCAAAACUGGCAAGCUAGAGUUUUGGAGGGGGAAGCGGAAUUCCUGGUGUAGCAGUGAAAUGCGUAGAUAUCGGGAAGAACACCAGUGGCGAAAGCGCUCUACUGGGCCAUAACUGACACUGAGGGACGAAAGCUAGGGGAGCGAAAGGG
rnacentral:rRNA from 1 species